UACAGAGGUCUCAAGCGUUGUUCGGAUUCAUUGGGCGUAAAGGGUGCGUAGGUGGCGGGGUAAGUCAGGUGUGAAAUUUCGGAGCUCAACUCCGAAACUGCAUUUGAUACUGCCUUGCUUGAGGACUGGAGAGGAGAUUGGAAUUCACGGUGUAGCAGUGAAAUGCGUAGAUAUCGUGAGGAAGACCAGUGGCGAAGGCGGAUCUCUGGACAGUUCCUGACACUGAGGCACGAAGGCCAGGGGAGCAAACGGG
rnacentral:rRNA from 1 species